CGCCUCCUGGCUCCCUUGCCUCAUCGACGCGACGCCCCACGGGAGGCCUGCUUCCACCGCCUGCGACCACACAGACGGCCAGUGGCACGACAGCAUCUGGCAUCCGGAGAGAUGGCCGCCGGCACCUCCCUCGCCAAUCCGAUUCUGUCAAGUCUCGGGCAUCGCCCCGAUCCAAUUUCAUCAGGCGCGGCGGUGCCUCCCUCCCUCACUUGCCAUUUCAGACCCCUCCCUGAUCCGCCUACAGGAGAACGAGCGAAGGGAGUACGACAGCACGAGUGCACGACUUCGACAUCAACAGCAUGAUAUCUACCUCAUGCCCCCAUCCUCAGUACAUUAUGCUCCGUUGCAAGUAGAUACUGUAAGAUUGUGGUUCUGAUUGAGAAACCUUGCAGAAGCCAUUUGGGGUAGAUGGUUUGAAAUUCUUUGAUUUUCUAUAGGGAUCCUAGCUCGGAUGCGUUAGCCAUUAGAUAUCUCAUCUUUUGGAAUCAACCAUGAAUUUUUUACUACGAUGUACCCACUUCGUGUCAGUUCCAUGAGUGUGUGAAAGCCUUUCUGAUUGCAACUGAAUUUUUUGUUGAGAUAGAGCCUACUCUUAGGAAACAACUUAAUUAUCAUUUGUAUUAUUGUGUUCACUAUUGGCAUUGCAUUCAGUAGUUGGCUAUUUCUCUGAGGACAGCGCCAAGAUGGCUUCCAAUUUGCUGAUUGGCCAUUUAAAUUUGGAGGCUCCAUACUGAUUGCAUCUAUGUAAGUUAAGUAGUUUUUAUACAAGCAGUGACUAAGUUUACAUGCAUUAUGGCCUUGCAGGUACCAGCGGCAACCUAAAUAUGCAGUUUCCUCGGUUUUGUAUUGCUGGUAGUUUCUUCAGUUUCAUCAGAACAUAGUGUGGAUGGCUAGGAAGAAGGCACACAACCUGAAUAUGUUCACAAGGAACUGCCCUUUCAUAUGUGAUCUCUGUAUAUGCUUGGAUCUUUUAAUUCAUUGUUCCUUGCGACGUUUUCCAUUUGCAUCGAUCUGCAGCAGCAAAGCAAUGCUUAUGUGCAUGCAACAUGAAUGGAUAGGCUGCCUUGCCAUAUUCAUCUCUCAAGACCGUCAAUUCUGAUGUGCUGGCCUCAAUCAUGUGCACUGGAGUGUUCUGCCUCUCUGCUUCCAGAUUCUGAGGCUGAUGCUUUACCUACUCUAGUAGUCACAGCCGUUGUUUCUGAAGAUGAUCCAAUAAUUGUUGUUGUGUUGGUUAGUUGGGUUGGAUCAUGGAUGACAAUUGACAAAUCUAAGUUACAGUCAAUUUUGGAGUUGUAGUUUUCCUCAAAAAAGUUUGGAGUUGUAGAGUAGGGUGGCCUAGGCCAAGCCCUUGGAGGGCAUCAAGUUUUGACCGAGAAUUCUGUAAUCUGGGUGUGCUUGGGAAGAUCACUCUGAUAUGCAGCUGUGAUUUUUAUUAUUUCAAAAAAAAUAUUCAAAUUGUUUCAUGCUGGAUCA